rnacentral:rRNA from 1 species
AUUGAACGCUGGCGGCAGGCCUAACACAUGCAAGUCGAGCGGAGCGGCGGACGGGUGAGUAAUGCCUAGGAAUCUGCCUGGUAGUGGGGGAUAACGUCCGGAAACGGGCGCUAAUACCGCAUACUAUCAGAUGAGCCUAGGUCGGAUUAGCUAGUUGGUGGGGUAAAGGCCUACCAAGGCGACGAUCCGUAACUGGUCUGAGAGGAUGAUCAGUCAAACGGGAACUGAGACACGGGCCAGACGCCUACGGGAGGCAGAAUGGGGGAAUAUUGGAAAAUGGGCGAAAGCCUGAUCCAGCCAUGCCGCGUGUGUGAAGAAGGUCUUCGGAUGUUAAAGCACUUUAAUUUGGGAGGCUUUACCAACAGAAUAAGCACCGGCUAACUUCGGUCAAGCCGCCGCGGUAAUAC